rnacentral:rRNA from 1 species
UACGUAGGGCGCAAGCGUUGUCCGGAAUUAUUGGGCGUAAAGAGCGUGUAGGCGGCCAGGUAGGUCUGCUGUGAAAACUCGAGGCUUAACCUCGAGCUGUCGGCGGAAACCAUCUGGCUAGAGUCCGGAAGAGGAGAAUGGAAUUCCCGGUGUAGCGGUGAAAUGCGCAGAUAUCGGGAAGAACACCCGUGGCGAAGGCGGAUCUCGGGGCCUGUCCUGACGCUGAGGCGCGAAAGCUAGGGGAGCGAACAGG